UGAGCGAUUGAACAACAACCCCUGAGCAGUGAGGGAGAGCAGGCAUCCCUGGGAUCUCUCCAGCACCUGGAGGAGGAGCCUGGCACCAGCCGGAAAAGAACACCCCUUGUGGCCACCCGAAGCCCCCUGCAGAAGAACCUUUGCUUUCUACUGCAGGUAAUUCAGGCAGAUGGAGCCAACUGGAAGCAGCUCAGAGCCACUGAGACGACAGGAGACAGCAGGGGUCACUUGUAAAUCAAAGCCACGCGGCACAGAAGAGAUGAGAACAAGCAGGCAGCUGGGGCAGAAGGGGCCGGUGGGGAGACUCAGAGGUGCAAGUGGCCUCAGGCGCCCAGAGCAGGGCUCCCGGUGAACCACUGUCUCCCUGGGAGGCUGGCUCUGCCGCUGAUCAGCCUGCUUGGAAUCUUUCUUUCUUUUCCUCAGUGGUCAGGAGAGGACUUUCGGUUCAGAUUCAGCACAUCUCCCCAGACUGGCUAAAUAACUGAAGAGGACUGAGGUGAAGGCCAGGGCAUUUGCCCACCAUGCCCCCCCGGGCGCUGGCCUCCUGUGCCCCACCUCUGCCCGGCAGGCCUUCCUGUCCCCUCCCAUCCUUUGGAUCUUGCCAAAGCCUCACUUUCCCCAGGACAGCACAUCCCUUGCUUGGUAGUGUGUGUUGAAGUUGGGAUUAUUUGCUUUUGCUUAUAAUCUGCCUGCAAUGCGGGAGACCUGGGUUCAAUCCCUGGGUUGGGAAGAUCCCCUGGAGAAG